rnacentral:tmRNA from 1 species
GGGGCCGAUCCGGUUUCGACGUGGGUUACAAAGCAGUGAGGGCAUGCCGAGGGGUGGUCACCUCGUAAAUCCAACCGCAAAAACCUAAACGCGAACGACGAGCGUUUUGCUCUCGCAGCCUAAAAAACUAGCGAAGCCGCUACACCGGUGCUUCCCUCGACCGGAGUGAGCCUCAAAAACUCACGGUAGCGUCAUCCAGAGGGAAUCGGCCGGCGUCGGGUUACUUGGCGCCGGCUUAAACCAAGGUGACUCGCCGCUGUCCGGCCUGCCUGUCGGCUAAGGCAGCGGUUAAAUCAAAUAGACCGGAUACGCAUGUAGAACUUGCUGUGGAGGGCUUGCGGACGCGGGUUCAAUUCCCGCCGGCUCCACCA